rnacentral:rRNA from 1 species
AGUAACGCGUGAGGAACCUGCCUUCCAGAGGGGGACGAACAGUUGGAAACGACGUGCUAAUACCGCAUGACGCAUUUGAAUCGCAUGGUUUGAAUGUCAAAGAUUUAUCGCUGGAAGAUGGCCUCGCGUCUGAUUAGCUAGUAGGCGGGGUAACGGCCCACCUAGGCGACGAUCAGUAGCCGGACUGAGAGGUUGACCGGCCACAUUGGGACUGAGAUACGGCCCAGACUCCUACGGAAGGCAGCAG